AAACGCCGUUUAGUGAAUGGCUUGGCUUGAGAGCUGAUGAAGGGCGUGGCAAGCUGCGAUAAGCCCGGUGUAGCUGCAUGCAAGCGUUGAUACCGGGAUUCCUUAAUGCGACUUCGUGAACCUUAGGGUUCGCACCAUUCAAUUGGUGCAGGAACGCGGUGAAUUGAAACAUCUUAGUAACCGCAGGAAGAGAAAACAAUUGUGAUUCCGUAAAUAAGGGUGACUGAAAGCGGACCAGGGCAAAAUGAAUCUGCAAUAGUAAUAUUGUGGAAAUGUGUGGUUUGGGCCGUGCUAAACAUCCAAAAAUCUAAGCUUAACUUCUCUGGAAAGAGAGACCUUAGAGGGUGAUAGUCCCGUAAGCGCUCGAUAAUUGGUUGUGGCAUGGUUCCUGAGUAGCCAGGGUUGAAACUCCUUGGUGAACAUGGGAGGCAACAACUCCCAACCCUAAACACUCCUCAAGACCGAUAGCGUAUUAGUACCGUGAGGGAAAGUUGAAAAGAACCCGUACAAGGGUGUGAAAAGAGCCUGAAACUAAGCGGCCACAGUAAGACGCGGCAUUAAAGCGAAAAUUUUACAGGAUACUGUUUAGUUUUCUUGCGGUGUUGCGUCAUCCGUUCCGGAUAACGGAGCAGGGAGUUUGUGUAAGUGGCAAGACGAACCAUCUUUACGUUGGUGUGUCGAAGCGAAAGCGAAAUUGCCCGCAGCAUGCGAGGGGCUGGGUGCGAAUAGUGCCCGUAGUCACUUGUGCAAGACCCGAAGCGAGUUGAUCUACGCCUGGCCAAGAUGAAGUCCCCUGUCAAGGGGGUGGAGGUCUGAAGAGGUACUGUGUACAAGCGUUCUUCUGAGCUGGGUGUAGGGGUGAAAAGCCAAUCGUAACUCGCAAUAGCUGGUUCCUCGUGAAAUAGGCCUUAGUCUAGUCUACGGUGAGAUGGCUUGAGGGGUAGAGCGACUGAUUUUAUGCGACAGGGGUCAUGAGACCUCGGUAUGAAGUCAAACUCCGAAUACUCAAGUAUUUUAGACCCGUGGAAACGGUGCAGGGGGGUAAGCUCCUAGCACGAGAGGGGAACAACCCAUACUAUGGUUAAGGUCCCUAAUUACUGGUCAAGUGUAAAAGGUAGAAGCGUAUCCGACUCCUAAAACAGCCGGGAGGUAGGCUUAGAAGCAGCCAUCCUCUAAGGAAAGCGUAAUAGCUCACCGGUCUAGGGCUCGGGUCGUGAAAAUGGACGGGACUAAGCCAGUAACCGAUACCAUAGAACACUCCGAAAGAGUGAUUUAGUAACGAGGCGUCCCGCGCGAGCAGAAGCAUGGUCGCAAGGUCAUGUGGAUCGCCCGGGAAUGAGAAUCCUGCUAACAGUAGCAGCAAAGCAAGGUGAGAAUCCUUGUCGCCGAAUGGGCCAGGGUUCCUCAGCACUGUUCGUCAGCUGAGGGUUAGUCGGUCCUAACGCCACCCUUAACUGGGCGUGGUGGAAGGGGAAACGCGUUGAUAUUCGCGUACCACUAUUGUACAUGCGGUAACGCAAGCAGUACUGGGUGACACUUCCGGAUAAGCCGAACACAGUCAUCGCUGUGUCUAACAAGAAUAAGCGUGUAGAGUCUCGUAAUGAGGAGAAGCACGUUAAGCUUGGAAUAGCCCGUGUAUACGGGUUCGGUUGAGUCCUGGAGUCAUUGAAAAACCCGUACUGAAGGAUCAGUAGUGUCCGUACCCAGAACCGACACAGGUGCCCUAGCUGAGUAGGCUUAGGCGUGUAAGGGAUAACUCGAGGUAAGGGAAAUCGGCAAGUUAGCCCUGUAUCUUUGGUAUAAGGGGUCCCUGCGGUGGUGUUCGUAUGAGCGCGAUUGCAGGGGACACUAACAAGGCCGGCUGGACUGUUUAACAAAAACAUAACUGACUGCUAGCCAUAAAUGGUGUGUAUAGUCAGCGAGUCGUGGCCACUGCCAGUAUCUGAAAGCUUGUUUCAACGGGCCAAAGGACUGGUGUAGGCCGGAGGUAUCCGUAACCUUCUUAAGGUAGCGUAAUUCCUUGUCAUUUAAUUGGUGACGUGCAUGAUGGAUUAACUAGGUCGGCGCUGUCCCUACCCGAGACCUUGUGAAUAUUCUUUCCUGGUGUAGAGGCCAGGGACUUCCAGUGGGUUGCGAAGACCCCAGGAGCUUUACUGUAGUCUGUUGUUGCUGUACGCGUAGUGUUGUGUAGAGUAGGUGGGAGACGUCGAUGGAGGGCAGAAAUGUUUUCCGGAGUCAUUGAUGAAACACCACCCUUCACUGUUUGUACAGCUAACCUUUAGAGGGACAGCGAUUGAUGGGCAGUUUGGCUGGGGUGGUACGCCCGCGAAAAAAUAUCACGGGCGCCUAAUGGUUACCUCAUCCGGUUUAGAACUCCGGAGUUGAGUGCAAUGGCAAAAGGUAGCCUUACCGGAAACCGAAAAAUAAGGUUUGCGGUCUCGAAAGAGAGGCAUAGCGAUCCUCACUGCUCUUUUGUUGAGAGCGUGAGACGGCAGAAAAGUUACCCUGGGGAUAACAGGCUUGUCGCGCUCGAGCGUUCAUAGCGACGGCGCGGCUUGGUACCUCGAUGUCGGCUCUUCCUAUCCUGGCGGUGCAUAAGCUGCCAAGGGUGCAGGUGUCCACUGAUUAAAAGGGAUCGUGAGCUGGGUUCAGAACGUCGUGAGCCAGUUCUGUUGUUAACUACUGGAAGCGUUUGGCGCUUGAGUGGAAGCAAGCAUUAGUACGAGAGGAACAUGCUUGCGUGGCCUCUGGUUUACCAGUCAUCCGACAGGGUGCCGCUGGGCAGCUACGCCAUAAUUGGGAUAAGAGCUGAAAGCAUCUAAGCUCGAAGCCUUCCGCAAGACGAAGCGCCAUUAUUAGGUUCCCCGUAGAACACGGGUUUGAUAGAGUUGGGGUGUAAGCAC
rnacentral:rRNA from 1 species